rnacentral:rRNA from 1 species
AUUGAACGCUGGCGGCAGGCUUAACACAUGCAAGUCGAGCGGGGUGAUGGUGCUUGCACUAUCACUUAGCGGCGGACGGGUGAGUAAUGCUUAGGAAUCUGCCUAUUAGUGGGGGACAACAUCACGAAAGGGAUGCUAAUACCGCAUACGUCCUACGGGAGAAAGCAGGGGAUCACUUGUGACUCUUCGCUAAUAGAUGAGCCUAAGUCGGAUUAGCUAGUUGGUGGGGUAAAGGCCUACCAAGGCGACGAUCUGUAGCGGGUCUGAGAGGAUGAUCCGCCACACUGGGACUGAGACACGGCCCAGACUCCUACGGGAGGCAGCAGUGGGGAAUAUUGGACAAUGGGGGGAACCCUGAUCCAGCCAUGCCGCGUGUGUGAAGAAGGCCUUAUGGUUGUAAAGCACUUUAAGCGAGGAGGAGGCUCUUUUGGUUAAUACCCAAGAUGAGUGGACGUUACUCGCAGAAUAAGCACCGGCUAACUCUGUGCCAGCAGCCGCGGUAA